UACGUAGGGUGCGAGCGUUUGUCCCGGAAUUAUUGGGCGUAAAGAGCUCGUAGGCGGUGUGUCACGUCGUUCGUGAAAACCUGCAGCUUAACUGUGGGCGUGCGGUCGAUACGGGCAUCACUGGAGUUCGGCAGGGGAGACUGGAAGUUCCUGGUGUAGCGGUGAAAUGCGCAGAUAUCAGGAGGAACACCGGUGGCGAAGGCGGGUCUCUGGGCCGAUACUGACGCUGAGGAGCGAAAGCGUGGGGAGCAAACAGG
rnacentral:rRNA from 1 species